GGAUUAGAUACCCUGGUAGUCCACGCCGUAAACAAUGUACACUAGGCCUUGGGAGUUCUGACACUAACAGGGCCGAAGCGAAAGCGAUAAGUGUACCGCCUGGGGAGUACGGUCGCAAGGCUAAAACUCAAAGGAAUUGACGGGGGCUCACACAAGCGGUGGAGCAUGUGGUUUAAUUCGAAGCAACGCGAAGAACCUUAUCCUGGGUUUGACAUGGUUGGAUUAGCUUCCCGAAAAGGAAGUGACGCGUUUACGUGGAACAACCACAGGUGCUGCAUGGCUGUCGUCAGCUCGUGCCG
rnacentral:rRNA from 1 species